rnacentral:rRNA from 1 species
UACGGGAGGCAGCAGUAGGGAAUCUUCCACAAUGGACGAAAGUCUGAUGGAGCAACGCCGCGUGAGUGAUGAAGGUUUUCGGAUCGUAAAACUCUGUUGUAAGGGAAGAACACGUACGAGAGGUAAUGCUCGUACCUUGACGGUACCUUA